UUCAUUCUGCAAAAAUUAGUGAAUUCGAUAUACGGGAUUCGUUUACCGAAACUAUCUAAGUAUGGCAUAGUCACGGAGAUAAAGU